rnacentral:rRNA from 1 species
GAUGAACGCUGGCGGCGUGCCUAAUACAUGCAAGUCGAGCGAAUGGAUUGAGAGCUUGCUCUUAUGAAGUUAGCGGCGGACGGGUGAGUAACACGUGGGUAACCUGCCCAUAAGACUGGGAUAACUCCGGGAAACCGGGGCUAAUACCGGAUAACAUUUUGAACCGCAUGGUUCGAAAUUGAAAGGCGGCUUCGGCUGUCACUUAUGGAUGGACCCGCGUCGCAUUAGCUAGUUGGUGAGGUAACGGCUCACCAAGGCAACGAUGCGUAGCCGACCGGAGAGGGUGAGCGGCCAGACUGGGACUGAGACACGGCCCAGACUCCUACGGGAGGCAGCAGUAGGGAAUCUUCCGCAAUGGACGAAAGUCUGACGGAGCAACGCCGCGUGAGUGAUGAAGGCUUUCGGGUCGUAAAACUCUGUUGUUAGGGAAGAACAAGUGCUAGUUGAAUAAGCUGGCACCUUGACGGUACCUAACCAGAAAGCCACGGCUAACUACGUGCCAGCAGCCGCAGUAA